GUGAAUCAUCAAAUUUUUGAACGCACGUUGCACUCUCCUCGGAGAGUAUGCCUGUUUGUGGGUCAGCCUAUAAAAAAUCGUCAUCGUUGCUGUUUCGCGGUGGCUUUCGUCGGCCAUUGGGUCAUCUUAAAUCCUUUUGGUUCUUAAGCGACUUAAAAUUUUCUUUUUGGUUCCAUCAACGUUUCUAAGAUUUAUUUCUUUACACGUUUAGGGUAUCGAUUUUUAUUAGACGUGACCAUCAUAUCGGAUCGCGUCCAUAAUCUUUCAUUAAC
rnacentral:misc_RNA from 1 species